rnacentral:rRNA from 1 species
CCUACGGGAGGCUGCAGUAGGGAAUAUUGCUCAAUGGGGGAAACCCUGAACCAGCAACGCCGCGUGGAGGAUGACGGUUUUCGGAUUGUAAACUCCUUUUGUUAGAGAAGAUAAUGACGGUAUCUAACGAAUAAGCACCGGCUAACUCCGUGCCAGCAGCCGCGGUAAUACGGAGGGUGCAAGCGUUACUCGGAAUCGCUGGGCGUAAAGAGCGCGUAGGCGGGAUAGCAAGUCAGAUGUGAAAUCCUAUGGCUUAACCAUAGAACUGCAUUUGAAACUGUUAUUCUAGAGUAUGGGAGAGGUAGGUGGAAUUCGUGGUGUAGGGGUAAAAUGCGUAGAGAUCAAGAGGAAUACUCAUUGCGAAGGCGACCUGCUAGAACAUAACUGACGCUGAUGCGCGAAAGCGUGGGGAGCAAACAGGAUUAGAUACCCCGGUAGUC